UACGGAGGGAGCUAGCGUUGUUCGGAAUUACUGGGCGUAAAGCGCGCGUAGGCGGCUUUGUAAGUUAGAGGUGAAAGCCCGGGGCUCAACCCCGGAAUUGCCUUUAAGACUGCAUCGCUUGAAUCCGGGAGAGGUGAGUGGAAUUCCGAGUGUAGAGGUGAAAUGCGCAGAUAUUGGGAGGAACACCGAGCGGCGAAGGCGGCACUCUGGGCUGGUACUGGACGCUGAGGAGCGAAAGCGGUGGGUAGCGAACAGG
rnacentral:rRNA from 1 species